rnacentral:misc_RNA from 1 species
GAUGAAGAACGCAGCGAAAUGCGAUAAGUAGUGUGAAUUGCAGAAUUUAGUGAAUCAUCGAAUUUUUGAACGCACAUUGCGCCCUUUGGUAUUCCGAAGGGCAUACCUGUUCGAGCGUAAUUUGACCUCUCAAGCGUAGCUUGGUUUUGGGCGCUUUUGUCCUGUUUCUGUGAUGGGACUCGCCUUAAAAGUAUCGGCGCCAAGUAAGUCAAUUCGCGGGCACAGUACAUUGUGGCUCCAUGAUUGAGUUAGCGUAGCUGCCGUUGACCUUUUCUUUUCUGAAUUGACCUCGGAUCAGGUAGGGAUACCCGCUGAACUUAAGCAUAUCAAUAAGCGGAGGA